rnacentral:rRNA from 1 species
AGUGGGGAAUAUUGGACAAUGGGCGGAAGCCUGAUCCAGCCAUGCCGCGUGUGUGAAGAAGGCCUUUUGGUUGUAAAGCACUUUAAGCGAGGAGGAGGCGCUCUAGGAUAAUACCCUAGAUGCGUGGACGUUACUCGCAGAAUAAGCACCGGCUAACUCUGUGCCAGCAGCCGCGGUAAUACAGAGGGUGCGAGCGUUAAUCGGAUUUACUGGGCGUAAAGCGCGCGUAGGUGGCUAAUUAAGUCAAAUGUGAAAUCCCCGAGCUUAACUUGGGAAUUGCAUUCGAUACUGGUUAGCUAGAGUAUGGGAGAGGAUGGUAGAAUUCCAGGUGUAGCGGUGAAAUGCGUAGAGAUCUGGAGGAAUACCGAUGGCGAAGGCAGCCAUCUGGCCUAAUACUGACACUGAGGUGCGAAAGCAUGGGGAGCAAA